rnacentral:rRNA from 1 species
ACGGGGUGCAGCAGGCGCGAAACCUCCGCAAUGUGAGAAAUCGCGACGGGGGGAUCCCAAGUGCCAUUCUUAACGGGAUGGCUUUUCAUUAGUGUAAAGAGCUUUUGGAAUAAGGGCUGGGCAAGACCGGUGCCAGCCGCCGCGGUAACACCGGCAGCUCUAGUGGUAGCAGUUUUUAUUGGACCUAAAGCGUCCGUAGCCGGUUUAAUAAGUCUCUGGUGAAAUCCUGUAGCUUAACUGUGGGAAUUGCUGGAGAUACUAUUAGACUUGAGACCAGGAGAGGUUAGAGGUACUCCCAGGGUAGAGGUGAAAUUCUGUAAUCCUGGGAGGACCGCCUGUUGCGAAGGCGUCUAACUGGAACGGUUCUGACGGUGAGGGACGAAAGUUAGGGGCGCGAACCGGAUUAGAUACCCGGGUAGUCCUAACUGUAAACGAUGCGGACUUGGUGUUGGGGUGGCUUUGAGCUGUUCCAGUGCCGAAGGGAAGCUGUUAAGUCCGCCGCCUGGGAAGUACGGGUCGCAAGACUGAAACUUAAAGGAAUUGGCGGGGGGAGCAC